rnacentral:rRNA from 1 species
AUUGAACGCUGGCGGCAGGACUAACACAUGCAAGUCGAACGAGUGGCGGACGGGUGAGUAAUGUCUGGGACACUGCCCGAUGGAGGGGGAUAACUACUGGAAACGGUAGCUAAUACCGCAUACACUCGGAGGUACCCCUAUGGGAUUAGCUAGUAGGUGGGGUAACGGCUAAACUAGGCGGCGCGCCCUAGCUGGUAUGAGAGGAUGAACAGCCACACUGGAACUGAGACACGGUCCAGACUCCUACGGGAGGCAGCAGUGGGGAAUAGUGCACAAUGGGCGCAAGCCUGAUGCAGCCAUGCCGCGUGUAUGAAGAAGGCCUUCGGGUUGUAAAGUACUUUCAGCGAGGAGGCGUUACUCGCAGAAGAAGCACCGGCUAACUCCGUGCCAGCAGCCGCGGUAAUAC